UUGGAGGGCAAGUCUGGUGCCAGCAGCCGCGGUAAUUCCAGCUCCAAUAGCGUAUAUUAAAGUUGUUGCAGUUAAAAAGCUCGUAGUUGAAUUUCGGGAUUGACGUGAUGGUCAUGCCUUAAGGGGUAUGAACUGUCACAGUUGAUUUCUCACCUUCUGGAGAAACUUGAUGUCCUUUAUUGGGUGUCUUGCGGAUCCAGGACCUUUACCUUGAAAAAAUUAGAGUGUUUAAAGCAGGCAUUUAUGCUCGAAUACAUUAGCAUGGAAUAAUAGAAUAGGACGGCAUGGUUCUAUUUUGUUGGUUUCUAGGAUCACCGUAAUGAUUAAUAGGGAUAGUUGGGGGCAUUAGUAUUCAAUUGUCAGAGGUGAAAUUCUUGGAUUUAUUGAAGACUAACUACUGCGAAAGCAUUUGCCAAGGAUGUUUUCAUUAAUCAAGAACGAAAGUUAGGGGAUCGAAGACGAUCAGAUACCGUCGUAGUCUUAACCAUAAACUAUGCCGACUAGGAAUCAGACGAUGUUAAUUUUUUAAUGACUCGUUUGGCACCUUACGGGAAACCAAAGUGUUUGGGUUC
rnacentral:rRNA from 1 species